CCGGAUAGGUUUUUGGAUCGCAUGAUCCGAAAAGAAAAGGCGGCUUUAAGCUGUCACUGGGAGAUGGGCCUGCGGCGCAUUAGCUAGUUGGUGGGGUAAUGGCCUACCAAGGCGACGAUGCGUAGCCGACCUGAAAGGGUGACCGGCCACACUGGGACUGAAACACGGCCCAAACUCCUACGGGAGGCAGCAGUAGGGAAUUUUCCACAAUGGACGAAAGUCUGAUGGAGCAACGCCGCGUGAACGAUGAAGGUCUUCGGAUUGUAAAGUUCUGUUGUUAGGGACAAACAAGUACCGUUCAAAUAGGGCGGUACCUUGACGGUACCUGACGAAAAAGCCACGGCUAACUACGUGCCAGCAGCCGCGGUAAUACGUAGGUGGCAAGCGUUGUCCGGAUUUAUUGGGCGUAAAGCGCGCGCAGGCGGCUAUGUAAGUCUGGUGUUAAAGCCCGGAGCUCAACUCCGGUU
rnacentral:rRNA from 1 species